UACGACGUAUGCGACGCAAAGCGACAGGCUGAAAACAAAAUAAAUAGCGAUGUCAAAUUACAGCAUUCCAGUUUAUCACGAUAGGAUAAGCCUCGUAUGUUAGAGGGCCGACCAACCGUGACAAACAAACAUCAGAGUCAACGACAUCCACCCGAACAUAUAGGCACUUUCAGUUUCGUGAAAUCGAAAGCGCCACAUACGUCUCCCGCACACUACAAGACGCGCCAUUUUAGCCAAGAUGGCGGCGAAAAAACUAGCUAAUCCGUCACGGCGGCUUGCGCCUGCGCAGUUCUAUUCACUAAUUUGUCACUUGUGGAGUUUUGCUGUCACAUGAGGGGUAACAUGUCUUCAGAUUUUGCUACAAAUAAGUAUUUCCUAAAUGAUAGUAAAAAAAUUACUGACAUCAAAAAAUCUUCAUUAUGUUCCUCAAUUUGCUGCUAUUUUUGUUCUCGCUGGAUUUUCGACGAAUACAACACUAUGACCGAAAAUUUAGAUAGACGAGUAUAGAACAAAAAUUGUGUACAAACAAAAAUAUUUAAAUGAAACGCGAGGUAAUCACUGUACAACAGCGUAGUUAUUAAGACAGUCCAAUUGACCAUAAUUCAUAUUAUUUACCUGCUAAAUAACUAAUUACUAGCUAAAUAAUAAAAAUAUAAGCUAAUUUAAGCUAAACUUAGGCGAUCAACAAAAUCAAAUUUAUUACUCGUACAUUCCCUACAAGAUGAACUAGCACAAAAUUUGAUAUAUACAGUACGUAAGAAAGUGCAGUGACCCACGACAGAGAAAUGCAACCAACACCUGACCACGGCUCGCAAACGUGAAAGUGUGCCCACUUCUCUAAUUACCACAAUCUCAACUUACCAUAUAUGGUUAGGAUUUCUAUCAAGUACUAAAUAAUAAAAAUAAUAAUAAAAUCUCUAUGUACUCAUGGGGUAAGAACAAAAAAUACAUGAAUUUUCAUUAUUACCUCCCACUUCUCAUUUAAAAUAUGUUAUUAAAGAAGAAGUUAUGGAAUCCAAUGGCAGUUAAGAAAUAUUCAAAAUAAAACCCUACACUGAAGUGCCUAACUAGCUAAUAUUCAACUCUGGGAAGAGACCAAUACUUACCAAGCAGGACAUUAAUGAGUAUUUAUGAUGAUGUUAAUAUAAUAAUAAACUUAUAUUAAUUGUUCUAGCGGUUUCAUAAGCCCGAGUCGUAAAAUUUACGCACUCGUGAAUUUAAAUCAGGCCAACGGUAAACCUUUUUAUAAAUUUCAAUUCUGCAUUUAUAAUGUGGUCUCGAUGGAAUAAUUGGCGAACUGAAUAUAUUUAGGAUGGAGCCCAAGAUUAUCAAAAGAGCUUGUUUGUCAAAUAUUUGUUUUAAUUUAUAUUUAACAAAAAUCAAAACCAGAAUGAUUAUAAUCCAACAUACGAAGUGAACAUGUUACACGUGGCCAAUUAAUAAAAACUGAAAAUAGCGUGACUAUAAAUCUUCAAUGUAGUUCCUGAAGUUAUCGCUUGUGGCCGUUAGUAAAUCAUAUCCUCGUUUUCGUUGACAGCUUUACGGUUACUUAGUUAUGUUCAUGUAAUAUUUCCCGAAAGAGCUAAUACAUUCGCUGUUCGUGACGCUACAGAUUUGUGAUGAAGAUAAUAAACGAUUAACCCAAAUCAUCUAAAGGAAGUGGACUUGAAAUAGCUGCAUUAUGUCGUGAGAGAAUACAUAUAUACAUAAUGAUUUAAGUAGAUACGAUCCAAAGUACACAUGAUAACUUACGAGAGAUUAAUGACUGCUCAAAUGUACAAAAUAAUGAACGAUGCUUUCAAAAGGCAGCACUCGAGUAGCUAAUAGGAUGUGACACUUUUACGUUAUCAAUAAAAAGAGAAGUGGAGCAGCUUCAUCGAUCCAUGUUUGCUGAUGAAGAGGGCGACUACAGGAAAGAUUGUGAAACUGUGUGACAGUACAUACGUAAUAAAACACAGUGUAGAGACCAUUGGAAAAGGAACACAUACAGAUGGACUUUGUCCUAUUAUUUGAACAUGGCGAUGAAGAUUAGCUCAGUGAUAACGAAUAAAUUAUCGAUUAUAUAUAUUAAGAUAUUUAAGGAAUUAGUAAUAAACUAAUUACAUAUAG